rnacentral:tRNA from 2 species
GCCCCAGUGUGGUAGUGGAGAUCCCUUGGGCCUGCGGAGCCCAAGAUCCGGGUUCGAUUCCCGGCUGGGGCA